rnacentral:rRNA from 1 species
AUAAUGGCGCGCAAGCCUGAUCUAGCCAUGCCGCGUGAGUGAUGAAGGUCUUAGGAUCGUAAAGCUCUUUCGCUAGGGAUGAUAAUGACAGUACCUAGUAAAGAAACCCCGGCUAACUCCGUGCCAGCAGCCGCGGUAAUACGGAGGGGGCUAGCGUUGUUCGGAAUUACUGGGCGUAAAGCGUACGUAGGCGGAUCAGAAAGUAUGGGGUGAAAUCCCAGGGCUUAACCCUGGAACUGCCUUAUAAACUCCUGGUCUUGAGUUCGAGAGAGGUGAGUGGAAUUCCAAGUGUAUAGGUGAAAUUCGUAGAUAUUUGGAGGAACACCAGUGGCGAAGGCGGCUCACUGGCUCGAUACUGACGCUUAGGUACGAAAGUGUGGGGAGCAAACAGGAUUAGAUACCUUGGUAGUCCACACCGUAAACGAUGAAUGCCAGUCCUUCCGGCUGCUUCUUGUUCGGUGACACACCUAACGGAUUAAGCAUUCCGCCUGGGAGUACGGCCAAAUUGACUAAGACUCGCCGGGAAUUCAACCUGGGCCUUUGGUAAUUAGG